AAGUCGUAACAAGGUUUCCUUGGUGCCUACCGAAGCCUUGUAGAAAUAGCAGUCCGCCUGCGGGCGGGCGACAUUCGCCUGUUGCUGGAAAUCAUCUCCUUUCGCGGGGGGUCAACCAGCUGCUGCAUGGCCCGCAUGUAGUCCACAGAUCAAACGCGAGUGGCCUGCGCCCCCGGCUCCCCUGAGAAGGCGACCGUCGGCGCCGGUUAAGAUAUGACCGUAGGAAGUUCUGUAAAGAACCCGAAACUAGUUCCGUAGGUGAACCUGCGGAAGGAUCAUUA
rnacentral:rRNA from 1 species